UACGUAGGGGGCAAGCGUUGUCCGGAUUUAUUGGGCGUAAAGAGCUCGUAGGUGGUUCGGUAAGUCGGAUGUGAAAUCUCCAGGCUCAACCUGGAGGGGUCAUUCGAUACUGCCGUGACUAGAGGUCGGUAGGGGAGUGUGGAAUUCCUGGUGGAGCGGUGAAAUGCGCAGAUAUCAGGAGGAACACCCGUAGCGAAGGCGGCACUCUGGGCCGAUACUGACACUGAGGAGCGAAAGCGUGGAGAGCGAACAGG
rnacentral:rRNA from 1 species